rnacentral:rRNA from 1 species
GAUGAACGCUGGCGGCGUGCCUAAUACAUGCAAGUCGAGCGAACAGACGAGGAGCUUGCUCCUCUGACGUUAGCGGCGAACGGGUGAGUAACACGUGGAUAACCUACCUAUAAGACUGGGAUAACUUCGGGAAACCGGAGCUAAUACCGGAUAAUAUAUUGAACCGCAUGGUUCAAUAGUGAAAGACGGUUUUGCUGUCACUUAUAGAUGGAUCCGUGCCGCAUUAGCUAGUUGGUAAGGUAACGGCUUACCAAGGCAACGAUGCGUAGCCGACCUGAGAGGGUGAUCGGCCACACUGGAACUGAGACACGGUCCAGACUCCUACGGGAGGCAGCAGUAGGGAAUCUUCCGCAAUGGGCGAAAGCUUGACGGAGCAACGCCGCGUGAGUGAUGAAGGUCUUCGGAUCGUAAAACUCUGUUAUUAGGGAAGAACAAAUGUGUAAGUAACUAUGCACGUCUUGACGGUACCUAAUCAGAAAGCCACGGCUAACUACGUG